CCACGGCUAUUCUCCUUCCCUGAGGUUCGAUUGGGUGCUCAAGACCUUCUCCUUUUCAGUUUGGGAUUUUUAAGUGUGGGUGAGUGAAUGUCUUGUGUGGAUUCCAAUUUGAGGCCACAGUGAAAAUGAAAAAUUUUCCAGAAAGUUUUGAAGAUUGGAGAUUGAAGAAUGAGAGAAGGGGGGCUGUUUGGCUUGGUAAAGAAUUAAAAUGGAAAGAAAAGGUAAGGGGCACUAGAUCGGAGCAGCAAGGAUACCUGAGGCUAAGGAAGUUUAUCUUCAUGCCUUUUAUGUUUAAUCUGGUUCAUUAAGCUUGGUGGUCGUGCAUGUUGAUUAAAAUCUUCUUGUUGAUUACUUUUAGUUCAUUAGGAGUGCUGUUAAUUGUUUGUUUUGGAUUGUAUUCCCACUCCCUGUUUGGAUUUGUGAGUACUAACUAUCGUAAAAAAAAUUGAGAGGGGGGUGUGCAGAAGGGGAAGAGAUGAGGUGAGGAGACGACAUCAUUUUGAAGAAGAUGCAGGGGGCAAUUAGUUCUUUUUAGAAUGAGACAAAUCCAUGUGGACACCUUACCUAACACAUCAGCAGGAGAUUUAUUGCCAACUGACAUUGGAUUUUAGAAUGGUUAGGGGGUGUAAUGUCUUUUGGGAAAAUGGCUAGAGACCGAAAAACGUA